GCCGCGGUAGCUCAGCUGGCUAGAGCACCGCCUUGGUAAGGCGGGGGUCUCGGGUUCGAAUCCCGACCGCGGCU
rnacentral:tRNA from 1 species